AUGUCUAGCUCAGGGAUGGUAAACGCACCAAUCAGUGCCCUGUCAGAACAGACCACUCGGCUCUACCAAUCAGCAGGACGUGGGUGGGGCCAGAUAAAAGAACAAAAGCAGGCUGCCCGAGCCAGCAGUGGCAACCUGCUCGGGUCCCCUUCCACACUGUGGAAGCUUUGUUCUUUUGCUCUUUGCAAUAAAUCUUGCUACUGCUCACUCUUUGGGUCCACACUGCUUUUAUGAUCUGUAACACUCACUGCGAAGGUCUGCAGCUUCACUCCUGAAGCCAGCGAGACCACGAGCCCACCGGGAGGAACGAACAACUCCAGACGCGCCGCCUUAAGAGCUGUAACACUCACCGUGAAGGUCUGCAGCUUCACUCCUGAGCCAGCGAGACCACGAACCCACCAGACGGAAGAAACUCCGAACACAUCUGAACAUCAGAAGGAACAAACUCCGGACACGCCGCCUUUAGAACUCUAACACUCACCGCGAGGGUCCGCGGCUUCAUUCUUGAAGUCAGUGAGACCAAGAACCCACCAAUUCCGGACACAAUAUCCCCUGUGACCUGCACGUACACAUCCAGAUGGCUGGUUCCUGCCUUAACUGAGGACGUUCCACCAUGAAAGAAACAAAAAUGGCCUGUUCCUGCCUUAACUGAUGACAUUAUCUUGUGAAAUUCCUUCUCCUGGCUCAUCCUGGCUCAAAAGCUCCCCUACUGAGCACCUUGUGACCCCCCACUCCUGCCCGCCACUGAAAAACUCCAAUUUGACUACGCAAGUGAAAUUUGGUGCCGUGACUCAGAUCGGGGGACCUCCCUUGGAAAAUCAAUCCCCUGUCCUCCUGCUCUUUGCUCCAUGAAAAAGAUCCACCUACGACCUCGGGUCCUCAGACCCACCAGCCCAAGGAACAUCUCACCAAUUUUAAAUCGGCCACUCCCAGAGACCCUGGAACUCUGGCCCAAGACUCUCUGACUGACUCCUUCCCAGAUCUUCUCGGCUUAGCAGCUGAAGACUGACACUGCCUGAUCGCCUCGGAAGCCUACAGGACCAUCACAGACGCUCUGAGUAACUCUCACAGCGGAGGGACAUCCAGCAUAAUAUUGAAUUCAGAAGGAAUGACAGGAGACACACAUGGUUUAUUCCUGACCUUAAAGAGAUACUUUCAGUAUGUCAUCAUUAAGUAUAUGCUCAUGAAGCACUAAGAUCUUCAAUAUUAGAUGAAGGAAGUUGACUUCUAUUCAGAAGUUGCCAGAUUUUUUUUUGUUUUGUCCUAUUUAAAUAGAUAUCUGAUUUUUCUCCUUUAUUUGUAUUUGUAGUGAAUUACAACUACUGAUUUUUCUAAUGUUAAAACAACUUUACAUUUUUUGAAUAAACGCUGCUUUGUUAUGAUGG